rnacentral:rRNA from 1 species
UACGGAGAGUGCGAACGUUGUUCGGAUUCACUGGGCGUAAAGGGCACGUAGGCGGCUCGGCAAAUCGGUCGUGGAAUCCCGACGCUUACCGUCGGAACGGCGGCCGAAAAUACCGGGCUCGAGGGCGUGAGGGGUCACUGGAACUCCUGGUGAAGCGGUGAAAUGCGUAGAUAUCAGGAGGAACGCCGGAGGCGAAAGCGAGUGACUGGCGCGUUCCUGACGCUGAGGUGCGAAAGCUAGGGGAGCAAACAGG